rnacentral:rRNA from 1 species
GAUGAACGCUGGCGGCGUGCUUAACACAUGCAAGUCGAACGGAAAGGCCACAGCUUGCUGUGGUACUCGAGUGGCGAACGGGUGAGUAACACGUGGGUGAUCUGCCCUGUACUUCGGGAUAAGCUUGGGAAACUGGGUCUAAUACCGGAUAGGAAUCACAUGUGGGUGKGUGGUUGGAAAGCUUUUGCGGUAUGGGAUGAGCUCGCGGCCUAUCAGCUUGUUGGUGGGGUAAUGGCCUACCAAGGCGUCGACGGGUAGCCGGCCUGAGAGGGUGUACGGCCACAUUGGGACUGAGAUACGGCCCAGACUCCUACGGGAGGCAGCAGUGGGGAAUAUUGCACAAUGGGCGCAAGCCUGAUGCAGCGACGCCGCGUGGGGGAUGACGGCCUUCGGGUUGUAAACUCCUUUCGUCAGGGACGAAGCGAAAGUGACGGUACCUGGAUAAGAAGCACCGGCUAACUACGUGCCAGCAGCCGCGGUAAUACGUAGGGUGCGAGCGUUGUCCGGAAUUACUGGGCGUAAAGAGCUCGUAGGUGGUUUGUCGCGUCGUUUGUGUAAGUCCACGGCUUAACUGUGGGAUGGCAGGCGAUACGGGCAUAACUUGAGUGCUGUAGGGGAGACUGGAAUUCCUGGUGUAGCGGUGAAA